ensembl:lncRNA
AUUUAAAGGCUAGCUUUCAUGAGGGAAGUGUUUCCUGGACAAAGGUCUUUUUCUGAGAGGGAGGGGCAUUCUAUAGCUGAGACUGUCACCAGCUGACUUCUGUUUCAGGAUUUUAAGUAACCUCACAAACACUGAUGAACUGGAUUGAAUAUCAUCAUUUUCAGUGAAGUGUUGCCAGAGCUGAUUUUUCUAAAAGGAGCAUUUGGAAAGCACUCCUGGAAGUCUAAAAGUUUUCUGCCAAAACGGCCAUGCUGAUUCAGCUGAUGACCAAACCCGACUGCAAAAACAAACAAUCCUACACAGCCCCAAAUUAGAUGUGGGUGUUACUGAGGAUUUAUCACUGAGAAAACUGAGAAAGUGAUGCUGUGUCACACCAAAAUUUUUGGAACAGAACCUAGUUGCUUUGACUGUGAAUUUUAUAUUUCAGCUGCGUAAAGAUCCCUCCUUUAUCCUGUAUUUCUGUGAAAUAAUAGGAACGUGGUAAUACUGAAAUUAUUCAGAGAAACAAACCUUACCUUGGAAAGGCUGGUAUUGCCCUAAAGUUAAUAUAAGGAGAUACGUUCCUCAGCAGAGAAGUCCAAUGUCAGAUACUGUUGUCCUCCGCAACUGCUAACAUAGAUGCCGUAUGGGUCCUACAGUCACAGAUCCAUGUGCUCCGUGUUUCUCUGGCCCUCAGGUCACUGCCAGGCUACUGCAGAUAUCUGUUAACACAAUGCAAGACAUCACACAUAAAUGGUAGAUAAAUAAAAUUGGCAUGUUCUAUUGAAAAAUCAAGGUAGAACAAAAGACCACUAAAUUGAGUUAUCUGGAUGCAUGUGUCUAAGUUAGCUUACCUAGCUAGCUCCCCAGUGCCUGCCUGUGAUGUCUGCUUCUGUUUAAGCAGCCUGUGGAAGUGUCUUCGGUAUUUGCUCUCGCUUCUUGUACGUUAAGGUUUACACAUGGAAAGAGUCAAGUGGAUUUUUUGGAGACUUGGACAAGCCUUCCUCAUUUUGGAUGGAUUCUAUACUUCAUUAAAAAACCAACCAACCAAACAGUUUUUUUGAAGAAAUGCUGGGCUUAGAGUCUCUGUUAAUGAGGGAAGUUCCAUCAUACUCAUACUCUUGUAGUAUAGUCCAUUGUGAAACCUUUACUAUCACUGAAAUAUUUACAAUAUUUCACUUUUUAGUUUGCAGUGAUUGUGGUCUUCGUGCGUUUUCUUUAGUGAACGACUUGACAUCAGGCAGUUACCACUAUUGCUUUGUCAGAAGCUGUGUUGCAGAGCACAGACAGAAGAAUUCUGUGCUCCAGUUGAUCUGACUUAAUCAGAGUAGGCAAGAAGAAAUACCUGACUAAAGGAAGCAGAUUGUCAGAAGUGUUCAAGACCCAGGAAUAUCCAUCAGUUUGUGUUGGUACUCAAACAUGGGACACAGCAUGUGCAGCUCUUCUGAAAGUCUGGCUUUUGUAUGUUUAUUUCUGCCUAAAACAGGUUUUAAUUUACUC